UCAGUAACUAGCAUUUGUCCCUG
rnacentral:miRNA from 1 species